CUGAUGAAAAUUAAAGGGCUGCAGUAUUUUGACUGUACAAAGGUAGCAUAAUCAAUAGUCUCUUAAUUGGUGACUUGUAUGAAUGAUUGGAUAAGAUAUAAACUGUCUCUUUAUAAUAUAAUAGAAUUUAAUUUUUUUAUUAAAAAGUUAAAAUAAAAAAAAAAGACGAGAAGACCCUAUAGAGUUUUAUAAAAAAUUAAAUUAAAAUUUUUUAUAUAAUUUAAAUUAAAAUUUAAUUUUUUAUUUUGUUGGGGUGAUAAAAAAAUUAAAUUAACUUUUUUUUUAUUUAUAUUAUAAAUAUAUAUAUAUAUAUAUAUAUAUAUAUUUAUGAUAUAUACCCAUAAAUAUAUGAAUAUUUGCUCCACAUUAUAUGAUUAAAUGAGAAUAUCACCCCGGGGAUAACAGCGUUUUUUUUUUUUUUAUAUCAUAUAAAAAAAAAAGUGCGCGCCCCC
rnacentral:rRNA from 1 species